GGCAAAUAUGUAACCAUCUAGCCCAGAUUCUCAGGGAAAUAUUUGCUUCAGUGGGUUUGUCAAGAAUAGCCAGUUAUUAGCAAGGACAGUGCCGGGGAGAGGGGGUUUAGAAAGGGUUUGGGGGGUGCUAUGUGACUGAUUCUGGCCAGACCAUGGCUUUGAUUUUGCUGGGGUCCACUCUUACUACUGGAGGCUGUAUCGGCUCUUUUAAAAUUAUAAAUGAAAGCAAGUAA
rnacentral:lncRNA from 1 species